UACGGAGGGUGCAAGCGUUGUCCGGAUUUAUUGGGUUUAAAGGGCGCGUAGGCGGCCUGUUAAGUCGAACGUGAAAUCCCCGGGCUCAACCCGGGAACUGCGUCCGAUACGGGCAGGCUUGAGUUCGGUAGGGGAGACUGGAAUUCCUGGUGUAGCGGUGAAAUGCGCAGAUAUCAGGAGGAACACCGGUGGCGAAGGCGGGUCUCUGGGCCGAUACUGACGCUGAGGAGCGAAAGCGUGGGGAGCGAACAGG
rnacentral:rRNA from 1 species